UACGGUAGGGUGCAAGCGUUAUCCGGAAUUAUUGGGCGUAAAAGAGCUCGUAGGCGGUUUGUCGCGUCUGCUGUGAAAACUGGAGGCUCAACCUCCAGCCUGCAGUGGGUACGGGCAGACUAGAGUGCGGUAGGGGAGAUUGGAAUUCCUGGUGUAGCGGUGGAAUGCGCAGAUAUCAGGAGGAACACCGAUGGCGAAGGCAGAUCUCUGGGCCGUAACUGACGCUGAGGAGCGAAAGCAUGGGGAGCGAACAGG
rnacentral:rRNA from 1 species